rnacentral:lncRNA from 1 species
UGGGCAGAAAUGCACCAGGGAAAGGACAUAACGAAACUGGUUUUAUCAGAACAGCCUGCCUGAGAGAGAUCAAGCAGGGCACAGGUCACCAGGUAUGCCCCUGGGCUCCUGCCGCAGCUGAUCGGGUGCUAGGUGCUGAGGAUACACGUCUGGGAGAAAGCAAUUGGAAGAAAUGCAAAGCUCUUCAAAGGAGACCUAUAAAGUCAUCUUUGUUUUGUUCAUUCUUCUCAUGUUUCUGCAUUCUGGGCAUUCUCCUAAAUUGGGGAGAAACCAAAAUGCCCAGAAGUCAAAUUCUGCAACUGUCAUCAUGCAAAAUGUCAAAUGAGAGAACCAAAGUAUGCUGGAUUCUAUAUUGUUAGGAAGGGAUGGUUAAUUUGAUUGACUCUUGGGAGCUAUUUUUCUAGCAUUAAGUAAUUCUAGGGAACCCUUCUGUGAUCAUCUCUGAGUAAAUAAAGAAGUGAAAUUGCAAUUCAAA